UACGUAGGGGGCUAGCGUUGUCCGGAAUCAUUGGGCGUAAAGCGCGUGUAGGCGGCCCGGUAAGUCCGCUGUAAAAGUCCAGGGCUCAACCCUGGAAAGCCGGUGGAUACUGUCGGGCUAGAGUCCGGAAGAGGCGAGUGGAAUUCCUGGUGUAGCGGUGGAAUGCGCAGAUAUCAGGAGGAACACCGAUGGCGAAGGCAGCUCGCUGGGACGGUACUGACGCUGAGGCGCGAAAGCUAGGGUAGCAAACGGG
rnacentral:rRNA from 1 species